rnacentral:rRNA from 1 species
UACGUAGGGUGCAAGCGUUAAUCGGAAUUAUUGGGCGUAAAGCGCGCGCAGGCGGUCCUUUAAGUCUGAUGUGAAAGCCCACGGCUCAACCGUGGAGGGUCAUUGGAAACUGGGGGACUUGAGUGCAGAAGAGGAAAGCGGAAUUCCAACGUGUAGCGGUGAAAUGCGUAGAGAUGUGGAGGAACACCAGUGGCGAAGGCGGCUUUCUGGUCUGU